UACAGAGGUCCCAAGCGUUGUUCGGAUUCAUUGGGCGUAAAGGGUGCGUAGGUGGCGCCGUAAGUCGGGUGAUGAAAUCCUCGGAGCUUAACUCCGAAACUGCAUUCGAUACUGCCGUGCUUGAGGACUGGAGAGGAGACUGGAAUUUGACGGUGUAGCGGUGAAAUGCGAUAGAUAUCGUAAGGAAGACCAGUGGCGAAGCGGGU
rnacentral:rRNA from 1 species